AUUAAUCAAUCCUCCGUCGUCCAGUGCGGCGGCGGUAAAUCUCUUCUUCCGUCUCCCUGGCGCCGCCCUUGUCCUGCGCCGCGGCGUCUCUUCUUCGGCCUUCACCACCGUCCUUUCUUUGUUCCGUGUAAAUCUCCUCUUAGGGAGAAGGAAUAAGAUCGAUUUGCCUGUCGCCUGGUGGUUCGUCUUCUCGCACGCCUCCCAGAUGGAUGGCCAGGGUGCAUCUGCGCGUGGCGCUUCAGACGUCAAAACCUUUGCCUAUGGAUCUGAUCUAUUUCCGUACCAGGUUCGAUCGAUGAACCAAAUCCUCGAAUCAAACAUUUGGAAAGGGCGCGAAGGAGGGUUUCGUGAUUGGAAAGACAAUGCCAUAUCCUGGAGGACAUCGACAAGCUCAUAAAUCUACCAGCUGAUGAUACUUUAUGAAGGGAACAAGGAUGAGGGAGACGAGGAAAGCUGGAAGAUUCCCUGGCCCGAACCCAAGACGCACUUCGGAUCAUACCGAGCCUUGCGCUCGACGAACCGGUUCCAUUUUGGACCAAAAUGGCUGGCCCACUCUUCCUGAGUCUUGUAGUGGGGGAGGUAUGUUAAGCUCUGGGUCGGAUCGUCGGAGUCCGGCAGAGCCGAUCGGAGAAAGGCCACCAAGUAGAACACGUCUUCGUCCGGCGUCACCGCCGAGCUCCUCUCAUCCCACCUGCAAAUUUAAAGAGCUCGAUCAUACUAACACAAACCUUUUCAGGGCUGGACAAUUUUGCAUACAAGACAAGUAAGAAGGUCCCGAUUAGAUAGAUGGAAGCUGACCAAUCACAACUCAUACUUUAUGUUUAUGAUAUUUUAAUGAAUUAGAAAAUUAACAUCAUCCAUUAAGAAGUAGCUAAUGAUUAAGUUA